rnacentral:rRNA from 1 species
AGUGAACGCUGGCGGUAGGCCUAACACAUGCAAGUCGAACGGCAGCACAGUAAGAGCUUGCUCUUACGGGUGGCGAGUGGCGGACGGGUGAGGAAUACAUCGGAAUCUACUUUUUCGUGGGGGAUAACGUAGGGAAACUUACGCUAAUACCGCAUACUGCCUACGGGUGAAAGCAGGGAAUCUUCGGACCUUGCGCGAUUGAAUGCGCCGAUGUCGGAUUAGCUAGUUGGCGGGGUAACGGCCCACCAAGGCGACGAUCCGUAGUUGGUCUGAGAGGAUGAGCAGCCACACUAGAACUGAACUAAGGUCCAGACUCGAACGGGAGGCGGGGGUGGGGAAUAUUAUACAAGGGGAGGAAUGAGGGUCCAACCAAGCCGCGUCGGGGAAAAAAGGAUUCGGGUAUUAGAGGUCUUUUGUUGGUGAAGAAAGGCAAAAGGAUAAUAGCCCACUGUGCUGAAGGUACCGAAAGAAUAAGCACCGGCUAGCUUCGUG